UCACUUCUCUGUGUUCCUUUUUGCGCUUCUUAUUUCUGUGUGAUAUAUUUAUACGCUGUAGUUGAAUCAGAAGGACGGAGAUGUGAAAGCGAUGAAUCUCAAGCUGGAUUAUCGAAUUUCUCUUGUGGUUUGGGAAAAAGAAAAAAAAAAUUAAAGAUUUGCUUCAGCAAAAGUUUGAAUCACCCGUUCAGGAUUGUCAGAUUGUACUGGCACUAAGAAUUCACGUGGUCCUCCAAUGCAUACAGUUUAACUAGCCACGGCAAGGAAGAAUACAGCUGCCAGUUUGACUGUAAAAGAAGCAAUAAUAAAAGAAACACAUUCUGCAAAUUGAGGUAUUGGAGCUGGAUCUUUGUUACAUGGCUUUCAUGAGAAAGUUUGUCUCAUAAUUCAAGUCUUUGGAUCUUCCAAUCAUCCAUGCUGGACAUCUUUAUGUUCUCUAUAUUCGUGGAUCGUCGAAUAUGUCUACAACCUCCAGAAGACGGGACAUGAAGAAAAGCUUACACGAUUGAUAUUCAAUCAGGUUGAUCUUGGUGUCUAUUUUCAGCUGAGUUGCCUUAUCCUGGCUACUACUGCUAACCAUGUUCUGUCGAACUUUUGGGCUUCUGGAGUUUAUCAGAAGUUACCAGGGCAAGACAACUCAGAGGCCAUCACCUAUGCGAAACUAAAGAGUGAUAGACUCCAAUGGAUUGAUCAAAUCAUGUUGUCCAGUGUCCACUCCGUUGUAUACAAAGCGGCUUCAGCAAUACAGCAAUUCCACGUGAGGCAGUAUAUCUUGACAAUGCUACAUUAAGUGGUUAUAAGAAGGGUGUUGUUGGGCUCGAUAACAAAAUUUGCACUGAAAUUUUAUGAUCUUAAAUUAACAACCAAGGACCAGUGGUUGAACAAGGACCAAAAAGAAAAGCAAUCGCGCGGCUUGGGGGGUGGGGUGGGUGUGAUGGAUAGUUUUGCUAGUUUGAGGGACGGUAUGAAUUCUCUAUCUGAAACAAACUUAUUCCAGCCCUGCUUUUUCGGGUGAUUCUGGAAACUCAAGUGUCGCACGUUGUUUGGCGGUGCAUAAGAGUCUCCAAUAUUACAACAGGCUUGCCAGCAGUCUUGAAGAGCUACAAAAAAAUGUAUGGAGGUCAAUUAUCAUGCAUCAAAGUUUACAAAACCUAUAGAAGAAUUUGGUAAAACUGGCAGAUGAUGUGCAAUCUGUAAGGCAAUGGAAAUGUAUCUGCAGUAAGGGUAAGGGGGUGUAGGCUCAGUAACAUUUGCACUAGCUUGGUACUUUAGCCACUCAUAGUUUCAGGUGGAUCUCGAAUUUGGUGAGACAGUGAUGCAGUUGAGGAAUCUAGAUGUAACAUGCAACCAACAAUUGAUCCAAAUGACAAAAAUUAUGGUUGUCGAGUGGCUCCAUCAGCAGAUGAGUAAAAUUAGAGAAAUAGCUCUAUUUUUCUCAAUCCUCAUGGGUGCAUACCUAUUAGUAUUCGCAUUCGUCCAAAUGUCCACCCCUUUGAAUCGAAAGGUAAAUGGCAGAUUUGUGGAUCUAUGUGCAAUGUAGCAUUCAUCUUUAGAUUUGGUUUCAACUACUUAUGGUCUUAGAUCUAUAAAGGACUGGGUUAGCAUUUUAAACUAUCAACUCAAAAUAAUAAGCGUUAAUAUUUCCAAAUUAUGACCGCACUCAAUGGUGACACCAGGUAGUGUUGUUUUCAUUCUUCAAGAAAAGGUAAAAAAGCUGAUCAAGGUAAGCUGCAUAUGAGGUUAUUUAUGGACUGAUGACUUUAACACUACCAAAUGAGAUAACCUGUUAGUGUUAUACUUGGAUUUGGAGCAGCGUGUCAGGUACAGUAUUUUCUUGCUAUCCUCCUAUUCAUUAAAUCUUUUGAACAAACAGAUCUAUGUAUUGCUCUUUUAGCUCAAAUGGAAGAGCACAUGGUUUCACCCAUGUAGUUGUGGGUUCGACUCCCACAGGUAGCAUAAUUAUUUGAAUAAGUCAAUAUCUUACGUGUUUACGGUAACAAUAUAUAGUGUGGGUUCGACUCCACAGAUGGCAUAAGAUCUUGCGUGUUUUCGGUACCAAUAUAUAGUGCGGCAUAGGUUUACAUGUGAGAGCAUGCCAUAUACUAUCAUCUAAGGAAAGAUUUGUGGUUGCGAGUAUAUUUGCCACUGCAGCAAGAGAACAUAGUCAAACUUAGGUCCAAACCAGAAAACUAGAAACCCAAUUGAACAGCAACAUUAUGUGGUUCUUCUCUCUACCCUUUUCUUUACUGGAAAAAAAAAAUUCUUCGCACUUUUAGUCUCUGCAUCUUAAGAUUGAGAAAGUUCUACCUGCUGUUUCUAUCUUUGUCGAAAGCAUACAAUAUGUGCCCUACAACUAGGAUGUUAAUAAAUCUUGGUCAACCAUUUUCUUCGGUCACAAAACAAUUUAGCAUCAUAAACUAAUGUUUCAUAUACUGAUGACCUAUAUAACUUCUUUUGUUGUUAGAACGCAAUAGGCAACAUCUUUUAACCAUAAUCUCUCCCCAAACCGCAUCGAAGAUUCCAUUAUUCACAGAAGAAACCAUCAGAGAAAAGGGAAUGAAUUCUCAUUUCUCAAGGUACCUAUGAUAAUUGAUUCUAUGUUUUAAUAAUAUUUGAUAGAUGUCCUCUGCAUCUAUGUAUGUAUAAUUGUUAUCAGUUUUAUUGCCCAUUUAUUGUCUGCAGUACUAUGAACCACAUGCAUACAAUGUUGUGACACGAGUUGCUCUUUGGAUUGGUAGACAUGAAUGGUAGUCUAAAGCUUAUGCAGUAUGUACUAUAUCUAUAUUUUUGAGGAUGAAUUUUAUAAACAACUAGGAUGCGAGCUGAGAGUAGGUUAUAUCUCGGAGAGGAAGCUGGAGAGUAGAGAGAAAGGGAACUCAGUCCAAAGUUUUAUCUGUCAAAUUAGUAUUUUGCAAUAGAAAGGAUAAGCCAAAGGAAAAAACUGUCAAAUUAGUAUUUUGCAAUAGAAAGAAGCCAAAGGAAAAAAGAAAUGGCAUGCACCAAAAAUCUGUUACAAAGUUUUGUCAAUUAAAUUGAUAUUUUGCAAUAGAGUUAAGAGCGUCAACUGUCAAGCUAAUUAAAAAUCUUUUUAAUACUUCCAACUGCAACACCAAUAGUUCAUCA